CAUACUUAAAAAAUAAGUGAUGCAGUAUCCUAGUCAGCAUCACCUUUCUGAAGGCGGGCCUAAAAAUCCGUCAAGGGCACAUCGAUGAAGUUCCUGGUGCUGGCUUCCGACGCCCAGUUGGGGGCUGGUACUGGGAGUUAAGGGGAUGGGGCGACCUGCAACGGCAUGUGGGCAUCGACCCCGUCCCCGUGGAGACCCAAGUGCGUGGGGAGUCGGCAACGACGAACUAUGGCUUGGUUGUUAACCUGCAUGUGGUAGGAAGCUGCGUGCAGCGUAGCCUGACUUGAAGUGGCACUGGUGAAUUCCCCUGGUACAACGGCAGCAUACGGGCCCGUAGGCCGCUGUUGUGGGAUGAAACUUUUGCUGCAAAAGAGUCUAAGAAAGACUGAUGCUGUUGAGGAAAACUCCUAGGCUGUCCGGUAGCACGCCGGGGCAGGUCAGGGAUUAAAGUGUGGACUAAGUGGUAAUCUAGCCCUGAGAGCGGUGACGCCUCAGAUAGGGUUUAAUGGGAAACCGCCGGUUUGGCGACAGCCGGUACCGCUAUGGGAAAACCUGCUGGACCUAAGCCACAACGUUUACCUGAUCUGCUACCACUUAUUCAAUUUACAUA
rnacentral:sRNA from 1 species